rnacentral:lncRNA from 1 species
UAACCUUUUCUUUUAUCAAUUUAGGAAAUGUUAAAUUCCUACCUACACCAUCACUGUUUGAAACACAUGCCAUUGCCUUCUCAUCAUCAUUGUCGCUAAUGAGAACAACAAUUAAAGGGACACUAUGCCAGGUACUGUGUCUAAGUUAUUCUUGGUAGAAGUUGCAUUGCAUGUCUAAUAAAGUCAUCAACCCCUUCUACAAAAUCCUCCCGCAAUCCUAAAUUUCAAUUCAUAUCCACAAAAGUUCAAUUCAUAUCCUAAAGGCUCAAUUCAUAUCCUAAAAGUUCAAUUCAUAUACAAAAAUAUCAAUUCAUAUCCUAAAAGUUCAAUUCAUACACAAAAAUUCCAAUUCAUAUCCUAAAGGUUCAACUCAUAUCCACAAAAGUUCAAGUCAUAUCCUAAAAUUUUAAUUUAUAAACUAAAAUUCCAAUGCAUAAACCAAAAAUUUCAAUUCAUAUCCUAAAGGUUCAAUGCAUAUCCACAAAAGUUCAAGUCAUAUCCUAAAAUUUCAAUUUAUAAACUAAAAUUCCAAUACAUAAACUAAUAUCCUAAAGGUUCACUUCAUAUCCUAAAGGUUCAACUCAUAUCCACAAAAGUUCAAGUCAUAUCCUAAAAUUUCAAUUUAUAAACUAAAAUUCCAAUACAUAAACUAAUAUCCUAAAGGUUCAAUUCAUAUCCUAAAGGUUCAACU